rnacentral:rRNA from 1 species
AUGGAGAUUAGGGCCCCGCCGACGAGCCUCAGGCUCGCGACGCCGCCUUCAACCGCCAGCUUCCGCCCGGUCGCCCUCCGGACCUCCUUCCUCAGCGGCAGCGUUUCUCUUCGAGCUGUGCAAGUACGUCAAUCAAAUGUCAACAGAUUUAAGUGCAACGCCAUACGGAGUAACCUCUUCGAUAGACUAACUAGGGUUGUCAGGUCCUAUGCAAAUGCAAUUCUGAGUUCAUUUGAAGACCCUGAGAAGAUCCUAGAUCAAGCGGUCUUGGAGAUGAAUGAUGAUUUAAUAAAGAUGCGGCAAGCCACUGCACAGGUCUUGGCAUCUCAAAAGAGGCCUGAGAACAAGUACAAAGCUGCCGAACAAGCUGAUGCUGAUUGGUAUCGGAGGGCUCAACUUGCUCUUCAAAAGGGUGAAGAGGAUCUUGCUCGUGAAGCCCUUAAACGGCGUAAAUCAUAUGCUGAAAAUGCAAGCUCGUUAAAGGCCCAGCUUGAUCAGCAGAAGAGUGUCGUCGAAAAUCUUGUUUCAAAUACCAGGCUUCUUGAGAGCAAGAUAGCAGAGGCCAAGCAGAAAAAGGAUACCCUAAAAGCCUGUGCUCAAUCAGCAAAGACCGCAACAAAAGUGAGUGAAAUGCUGGGGAAUGUGAAUACAAGUGGUGCCUUGUCAGCGUUUGAGAAGAUGGAGGAGAAAGUUAUGACUAUGGAAUCCCAAGCUGAGGCACUUGGUCAAUUAGGAGCUGAUGAUCUAGAAGGAAAGUUUGCAAUGCUUGAGACUACAUCGGUUGACGAUGAUCUUGCACAAAUGAGAAAAGAACUGUCCGGGAGAUCUUUGAAGGGCGAACUCCCUCCGGGCAGAGCCGCAGCCAGCAAAUCAGGUAGCCCCUUCCGAGACACAGAGAUUGAGAAGGAGCUAAAUGAGCUGCGGAAGAAGGCCAAAGAGUAUUAG